rnacentral:rRNA from 1 species
UGUAGUCAUAUGCUUGUCUCAAAGACUAAGCCAUGCAUGUCUAAGUAUAAACACCUUUAUACUGCGAAACUGCGAACGGCUCAUUAUAUCAGUUAUAAUCUACUUGAUCGUAUCCUCUUACUUGGAUAACCGUAGUAAUUCUAGAGCUAAUACAUGCAAAAGAUCCCGACUGGUGACGGAAGGGAUGUAUUUAUUAGAUAAAAAACCAAUGCGGCCUCUGGUCGGUUUUGCGGUGAUUCAUAAUAACUGUUCGGAUCGCACGGCUUCACGCUGGCGAUAGUUCAUUCAAAUUUCUGCCCUAUCAGCUUUCGACGGUAGUGUAG